rnacentral:rRNA from 1 species
GCCGUUGGGAGACUUGAUCUCUUAGUGGCGCAGUUAACGCGAUAAGUAGACCGCCUGGGGAGUACGGCCGCAAGGUUAAAACUCAAAUGAAUUGACGGGGGCCCGCACAAGCGGUGGAGCAUGUGGUUUAAUUCGACGCAACGCGAAGAACCUUACCAGGUCUUGACAUCCUAGAAACUUAGCAGAGAUGCUUUGGUGCCUUCGGGAAUCUAGUGACAGGUGCUGCAUGGCUGUCGUCAGCUCGUGUCGUGAGAUGUUGGGUUAAGUCCCGUAACGAGCGCAACCCUUGUCCUUAGUUGCCAGCACGUAAUGGUGGGAACUCUAAGGAGACUGCCGGUGACAAACCGGAGGAAGGUGGGGACGACGUCAAGUCAUCAUGGCCCUUACGACCUGGGCUACACACGUGCUACAAUGGCCAGUACAGAGGGCUGCAAGCCCGCGAGGGGGAGCUAAUCUCACAAAGCUGGUCGUAGUCCGGAUCGCAGUCUGCAACUCGACUGCGUGAAGUUGGAAUCGCUAGUAAUCGUGAAUCAGAAUGUCACGGUGAAUACGUUCCCGGGCCUUGUACACACCGCCCGUCACACCAUGGGAGUAGGUUGCAAAAGAAGUAGCUAGGCUAACCUUCGGGAGGCCGGUUACCACUUUGUGAUUUAUGACUGGGGUG